AGCGUGGAGACAGGUGGUGCAUGGCUGUCGUCAGCUCGUGUCGUGAGAUGUUGGGUUAAGUCCCGCAACGAGCGCAACCCUCACCUCUUGUUGCCAUCAGGUCAUGCUGGGCACUCUAGAGGAACUGCCCCGGUCAACGGGGAGGAAGGCGGGGAUGACGUCAAGUCAUCAUGCCCCUUACGUCCUGGGCUACACACGUGCUACAAUGGCCGGUACAAAGGGAUGCCACACCACGAGGUAGAGCUAAACCCAAAAAGCCGGUCUAAGUUCAGAUUGGAGUCUGCAACUCGACUCCAUGAAGGAGGAAUCGCUAGUAAUCGCGUAUCAGCACGACGCGGUGAAUACGUUCCCGGGCCUUGUACACACCGCCCGUCACACCACGAAAGCCUGCUGUACUCGAAGUCGCUGAG
rnacentral:rRNA from 1 species